GUUACUUGUAUUGCUGUUCCCCUUUGGGAAUAUAUAUCGGGGUGGGGGGCUUGCUCUCAAGCAUUUUUCCUUGUCUUAGUUUUUAAUAACUUUGUUACGAUACAUGUGGGUGUGGAUUACUCUCAGUUUAUGCUGUUUGGAAUUUGAUGUUGUAUUUUGGUCAUUGUGUUUUUCAGUUCUAAAAUACUCAUUUGUUUCUUUUUUAUAUCUUCCAUUACUUUACCAAGACUUUCUUGCCGCAAUCUAGCUGGGCAUAAUUCAGGAGUCACUUAUCAAGCAGAAACGAACUUUAUUUUUAGAACAUACACACCGCACCACACAGAGCUCUUCAGGAACUCCCUCAGAGCCCAACUGCCACCACCCACUUCCCACAAGCCUCUCAACACCCCCCCCCCUCCUUCCUGCUCUUGAGGCCGAUUGGCUGGGUCAUGUGGGUGGAGCCAAAAUAGUCCCCCAAUGAGCAGCUCCGUGGUCUGAAAGGGGCGAAAACAGCCCAAUGAGCAUCACUGCAGAGGAGCCAAUCAGCUGGCAGCUGGAAGUUUGCUGGGGCCCCUUGGCUGUGGCUCUCAACAUCUGCCCCUCUCUGUUUAAACAACAAGCAUGUGGCUUAGGAACUAAACCUGCCUUAGGUUGUCCAAUACUACAUAUGGUCCUUACCCGUCAUCAGAUGAGCUGACCUUUAGGCGUCAGCCUCCUGUCUUAGGUUGGUACCAUUGCAAUUGGAUCUCACCCGUCAUUGACUACUGGUCCAGCAUACAGCCACACCUGUGGAUAGGCCUUUGUGGGGGGGGGGGGUGAGGUUCUUUGCCUUACCUCUGUUGGCCCCCAAAUUUUAGCUGAAUGACCAUCACAAGCAGAAGGGAGGAGGAUACACCAAGCCAAUUGACAGCUCCUUUUGGAAAAAUUGUACCACCGAUGACACCAUCAGUGAAAAUACCCCAACACUACCACAAGUAACUGCACCAACAGAUAGUUCACAAUGCAUACAAGUGAUUCAUAGUCCAGGCAAGUUCUGCAAGCAGUUCAGUGAUAGCUAUUGCAGAAGCUGUAGUUUCUAGUGUAUUUGUGAUUCAUCAUUGGUUUCCAGUGUAUUUGUGAUUCAUCAUUGGAGCAGUUUUUGUUGUUAUUUUGGGGUUCUGUAUUUUUAACAUUUUUUUAGUUGUUGAUGGACCUUUAUUUUAUUGGUGCUGAGAAUCGUACCCAGUGCCUCACACAUUCAAGACAAGCGCUCUACCACUGAGCCACAAUCUCAGCCCUGUUUUUUUUUUCCCCCAAACUUGGAACAACAGAAGCAUAUUGUCUCAUAGUCCUUGUGGCCAAGAGUCUGAAAUUCAGGUGUCAGCAGGUGGGUUCCUUUUGGAGGCUCUGAGGGCAUAUCUGUUUCAUGCCUGUCUCCCAGCUUAUGGUGAUUGUAGAUAAUCCUUGGUCUUCCUUGGCUUGCAGCUAUAUCCCUCCAUUCUUUGCCUCUGUCCUCACAUGGCCUUUUCUAAUAGAUCUUCUUUAUGUCUUAAAUCUCCCUCUGUGUCCUCUUAUAAUGAGACUACCCUAAAUCCAGGAUGAUCUCAUCAAAAUCUUUGAUUUACUUAUACCUGCAAACACCCUAUUUCCAAAGAAGGUUACAUCCUCAGACACUGGGGGUUAGAACUUAGAUGUAUCCUUUUUUGAUGGAUAAAUUCAGUCCACCACAAGAAUAAUUUAUUUGUAACAGAAUUUAUUAAUUUUAAGUAUUUUGUUUGAUUAGUUUUGACACACACAUGCAGUAGGAUAACUACUGCCUCACUCAGGACACAAAAUACCUUCAGCAUCCCAAAAAGUUCCCCAUGACCUUUGUAGUCAAUCUCUUCCCACCCCGAGUAUCUGAUUGUCUUUCUGUUACUAUAAUUUUAUUUUUCCAUCCUUUGUAUCUGGCUUCUUUGACAACAUAAUGCUUCUGACAUUCCUCCAUGUUGUAUGUAUCAGGGGAAUCAGUAGGUUUGAAGAUUUUCAAACUUAAAAAAAGAAAAAGGACAUAAGCAUAGUACAAUGAAUACCCUCUUAGACUCACAAGUAUGGACAUUUUGCCAUGUUUGUGUUUUCUUUCUCUUACGGUAAACUAUAGCAAUAGUUUAUUGAUAAACUAUUGCCUACUUCAGCUUCUAUCUCCUAAGGACAAGAAGAUUCUGUUGGAACACUUUUGUAAUAGCAACUGUGAAGCUACUGUAAAGUUUUUGUCAGAUCAUUCCAAAACGUAUGUCAUCUAUCAGCUCUUAUAUACAGAUUUGGAAAAGAAGAAACAAAACUAUCACUAUUUUGAGAUAAAUAAUGCCUAAUUAACAUUUGUGUUAACAUCCUUGAUACUCUUUUCCCAUGCAAGUUGUGAUUUUACUGGUAGUUUGAAUGCCAAGUAAUUCUGGAUUAUAUUAUGGGUAUUUUUGGAUAUUGUGUUAUGAAAUGCUGGGUUUUAUUUAAAUUCUAUGAAGAAUUUUGCUAUUUUUGUUCAGGAUGAGGGAUACUAGAGGGAAAAAUAAUAAAAACUCAUGGCCAGGUUGGUUGUACCUUGAAUUCUGGUCUUCUUGCUAAUGUUUAUUUUUAGAUUCUCGAAGUAGCAUUGUUAAGUGUUCCUUCCAGAUUUUAUAGUUGCUUUCAAUGAGAAAGAACUCUAUGACUCAUUUACCAACCAAACUACAAUCAGAAUUAGAACUUUUUUUCUUACUGUAAAACUUUUUAGCUACUUACUUUUACUGGUGAGUGCUUUGCAAACAUUCAAGAAAUGCUCAAUUUGCAUUCAAGGAAUGCAAAUAAUCCAAUUCUCCCAUCCAAGUACUAACCAGGCGGGACCCUGCUUAGCUUCAGAGAUCAGAGGAGAUGGGGCGUGUUCAGUGGCUGGCUGUAGACCAAAUGAUUUAAUUCUCUACUCAGUCCAGAGUAUAGAGAAAGAAGCUGCACCUUCACCUCAGUUUUUGAGAUUAAUCUUUGUACUAAAAUUUGACAAGAACAGGUGAAGAAAAUUGCAGACUAAAAUAACUCAUCAACAUCAAUAUAGAACUUUAAACCCAAUUGUUAAUAAGCAAAAUUCAUCAGGAUAUAAAAAAGAUAAAGUGAAAUAACCAAAGUAAGUUUCCC
rnacentral:lncRNA from 1 species